AAUAAUAAAAAAAAAAAAAACAUGGGACAAAAAGACAAACCAAAUAAAACACGGAAACCCCACCCACCCCUUUCUAUUUCUCUCACGUGCCUUUCACUCUCUACUCCCAUCUUCUAGAAUUCUCUCCACUCUCACUUUCAUUUUGUUCGUCUCUAUUCCAAUUCACCAUAAUUCUUUUUCUCUUCUCUCCACUCUUGAUGGUUAAUUACUCAUAUAAGCAAAGCUAUCUCCUAGUCUAAAAGUGUUCAUGGGUAAAGAUUUUGGAGUUAGGGUUAUUGCUCUAAGAAAGGAGAAGAAUAUCCAUCUCUUGAAAGUUGGUCAUUUAUAUUCUUUGAGAUUCGAUGAAAAUUGCUCCGGUGGUCAUUCCGGAAGGCAUUGCUAGGAACGGAGUUGAUUCGUCAUAGUUAUUCAAAGUCAACUGAAUAGAAAGCUUCUAUCAGAGUUAAAGAUUUGUCAAUGUCACUCUUUUGGUAGGCCUUCUUGAUGAACAACUAUUUUGUAUAUGUAUAUUUGGAGUUGAUCGAGUAUCUGCAGCUAUUUUGAGUCUAGGAAUAUCUUGUUUUGAAAUGUAUAAAUUUAAACAUGUAUAUUUUGAAAAUUUUGACUGAAUGAUGUAUAUGCUGCAAACAGGAUUUAUUCUGAUUUGGAAACAUUGAAAAUACAAAUGAGACUUUGUCGAAAUUUCAGUAAAAUUGUUCUAAAGUAAAUAGUCAUUUGGAAAUAAUAUAUUUAUUGUUUGUUAAAUUCGGUCAUUAGGCUUGCCGGACUAGUAUUAGUUCGUGCGCCGGUCACGAUUGGAAUUGGGUCGUGACAAAGUUGGUAUCAGAGCCUGGUUAUAGGUCCUAAUAGCUGCAGACAUAGAAUGAGAAUAGGUUCUUGUUAGUAAAUUGUGAACCGCGGCACCAUUUACUUGCAAGAAGCUAUUAGCAUUCUAUGGUAGUCUCACUUGUUGUUCAAUCCAAUGAUCUCUUUUGGUCUUUGAUUUGUCUACAUCUGAUUUGUCGUCUUGUCCCAUAUUCGGUCAAUUUUCUUUCAUUUGGUCAGGACGCCACCCAACACUAGGAUCUCCACUAGAAGCAAAGUUUUUCCUUAUGGUUUACUUCCCAACCUAGUUAAAGAGUAAUGAUUCGUACGUACUCGUUGUCGAUUUAAAGUAGAUGAUCGAGGAUGCGGCAUUCAUGUCGACGGACGUGAUUGGUUGUAGUAGUAGUAGUUAGUGUUGAGGUGCCUAGAGGAAGACAAAUAUUGCUAAAGGUAUUGCAACAACUUAUUGUGAUUGUUGUUGAGAAGUAGCAUGAUAAUGAUAAUCUAAGACAAACAAAUUUUGAUGGGUCACAAGUAGUUAGCCAGGGUGAGUACUAGACGAUAACCCCAUCUAGAGAGAUUAAUGUUGAUAUAGAGAAAUUCAUGAUACCUAAACCCUUACCUUUUCUACGUCGAGUGUGCGUGAGGAUCCACUUAAAUUCAUUGACUAUCUAAAGAGGUUAAUUAUAAAAAGCGUUAGGAUGCUCAGAUAUAGGGGCAGUGAAGUUGACAUCAUUUAAGUUGGAGGAUUUGGUAUAUGACUUGUUUGAUACACUUACCUGUACAAAUAGGAUCACCGACGUUGGCAUGGAGUGAGAUCUCUUGAUUGUUUAUGACUCGUUUUCUUUUAGAAAGUGUUGGAGAUGCAUGGUUUAAAUUAUGACUAUGAGGGAUUUAAACAAACUGAGGUUAUGUCAAUUUCAAAGAACAAAACUCGUUUUGCAGAACUUUCAAGGCACAACAAAUAUUACUAUCACAAGAGAGAUAGUUCUAGUAGACAAAAUUUUUUACACAGUGUAGAGUCGUAGAUUAGAUUAUGGUGCAUAUAAAUAAUUCACUUUUCCUUAGAAUAAUUUUGACUUUAAAGGUUGAUUUCAAUCUGAAUUUUUUUUCAAAGAGGGUAAAAUGUACUUUCAAUGUGGUCGAGUAUGCAGUAACAGGAGGGGUCGUCCUUGGCAGCUACGACACAAUUAUUAUCUAGUUAUGAAUUAACACUGGUAGCUUUAGUAUAGAUUAUGACAGGAUGUUGUGUAUGAAUUGGACGUUCUUCCAUCAUAUCACCUUAGUCUAUUAUAACAAGGGAGUGAGAAUUGAGAUAUUGGGUAAUCGCUUUUAUCCUUUGCGAGUAGAACGUGAUUUUGUACCAUAUAAUUUAACCUCUUGUUUAGGAUCUAACAAGUUGUUAAAAAAAAAAGGAGUUAUUAUGGAUAAUUAUUCUUGAUUAUGGAAAUACAAGUGAGUGAAGAAAAAACAUUAAAUAGUUCCAAAAAACGUGAGUUUCCUAAUGUUUUUCCUGAAGAAUUUCUUAGAUUGCCUCAUGAUAAGAAUAUUAAGAUAUCUAUAAACUUGGUUCCUAACACUCAACGACAUCCAUACCUCUUCAUCAAAUAGUUAGCAUAACUUUAAGUGUUAAGGGAGAAAGCUAUAUGAUUUUCUCAAUAAGAUAUUUAUUAGUCCAACUUCUUUUCCUUGGGAAGCCGUGAUAUUGUUUAUAGGGAAGAAAGAUGAACCCAUGUGAUAUUGUGUGGUAGAGAAUCGAAUAGGAGGGUAGUAACGAUUGAAUAUUGUUUACUUUGAAUUGACGAGUUGUGUGAUCAACUUCAAGAAGUUAAGUGUUUUGUCUAGGAUUGAUUUGCGGUCUAGGCAUCACCAAUUAAAGGUUGAGAGGGGUCUUAUUUCAAUAAAAACUCUUUGCACAUACUAUGAGCAUUAUAUAAUUCUGGUUAUGUCUUUUGAGUUUACUAAUUCUCUAACAUCUUUAUGGAUAUUUGAUAGAGUUAGGAACGGUCAUAAACCUGAGCGUUUUCAAAUCAAGAUUGUAUUGAAGACCUACUAGGAUUGAAAAAUUUAUUUUCAAGUCUCAAAAUUCUACCUUUUCUUAUGAGUCACCAAAAAUAAAAAUAAAAAAAUAAAAAAUUACUUAUCUGUGAAUUCCUAAGCAAUAGAAACAUGCGGAAAACCACCUAUUAACUCUGCAUUGGUUAGUAGCUUCUAGGCUAUUAACAUAUUUAUUAGUAAAAAUUUAGGCCUUGAUAAGGAUAUUAUUAAACUUGAAAUUUAAUAUUCCUUGAUUUAGGAAUACAUUUGGAUUGAGUAUGUCCAGGCUUGGUUGGUAGACUAUUAAGAUGUAAAUUAAAUAUGAAGUAGGUGGUUUAUUUAUGUAACAUAAAUACUAGUUAUAAUAGAAUGAUGCCCUGUGAUAGUCAUUCAAGGUGAUUAACUUCUGGAAUGAAUGAAACAAGUAUUUUUUAUUUAUAAGCUCUUGAAGACUAUUUUUUAAACCUCUCAAUAUUUCCUACUAUAUGUUUCUUGGGUUAUUAGAUCACGAGUUGAUAAAUUGAAACAGUAGAGAGUAAAUUAGGUGAGUAUUAUGGAAUACGGUCAUAAACUACUUACCAAACAAAUCAGAGUUGCGCAGCGGAAGCAUGUUGGUGGAAAGGAGAUUUUGAUAUGCUGCAAUGAUUAUAGUUAAAGCAGGGUGUCAAAUAAAACUAGAAGUGUGUGAAGUGCUACUCCCAAAACCUCCAUACAUCAUUGUUCAAGACAUAAUUUAAGUUCGGUACCUUUAAUUUUAUGUUCAAUUCCUUGUGUGUUUUGUUUGAAAGUAAUGUUGCAACCUUAUAUAAGUUCUUGUUGGGGGUGGUCUUACAGAUGUCACAAGAGUGAGAACCUUGAGUAUAUUGUUUUAAUGAUUGUAAGAUGUGAAAGUAUGAUUCCAAAUGCCUAAAGUAAUAAACCAUUGAACUAAAAGAGAUGUGAUUCUAAGAUCUAUUGUUGAAUUUUAGUUAGUUACAGCAAGAAUGCUAGUGGAAUUGUGCCAACAGUAGACCAUUUUACAUAUAAGCAACAGUAGAAACUUUAAACCAUCCAUAGAUCAUUAUGUUAAGAUUUAUUUAAACUAGAUCCUUUCUUUACAUGGUAUGUCAAUCUUUACUAUCUCUGACAACAUGGUGCUCAGUUGUCUGCUCCGUUUUAGAUGUCUAUCAGAAAUAGGAACCCGUUUGAAUCUUAGUACAAUCAUUAUCCUAGGACCGAUGGUCAAUUUGUCAAAACUAUAAAAAAAAAACAUAGAGGAUAUGUUUCGUGCUUGUGUUCUUAUUAUUAGAGGAAGUUGACCAAUGUUUUUCUAUGAUGGAAAUUUCAUAUAAAUAGUUACGAAUCUAGUAUUAAAGUGGCGCCUUUGAGGCAUUGUAUGUAGACAAUGUAUGUCUUUGAUAGUAUGAUUGGAUGUUGGCUAGUCUAAACUCUAAACUAGUGGGCCUAGAGUUGAUUCAACAUAUUGUUGAAAAGGUUAAGAUUUUCUAGGAGUGUUUAAUGACAAUUCGAAGUAGGAAAAGUCUUACUCUAAUCAGAGAUGUCGCCCUUACUGUUCACAGUGGGAGAGCAUGCAUGUAUUCCUACAUGUUUCACAAAUGUAGGGUGUAUUGUGGUUUGGCAGAAGGGGGGAAAUUAGUUUAAGGUUCAAUGGAAUGUUAGAGUUUCGGUAGAGAUUCGAACUUCUAUCUUAUCACUUGGGACUUCGACCAGAUCUCUCGACAGUCCGUACGGUAUUUUAUAUUUCUAUGCUCUAGAAAUACCUUUAUGACCCUUUCAUGUGAUUAUUCAUGAAAAUGUGCAGCUAGACUAGGAUUUUUCUUAUGUUGAACCAUUUGAUAGCUAUAAUAUAUAUAGAUAAGGAAGUGAUAUAUAUGUUUAUGAUCAAAGGGUAUCGUUUAAGCAGAGAUUCUAUGGCAAAGAUUGUUUAACGAGGUAAUAACUUGAGAACCCAAAUAAGUCAUGUGUGACAAGUAUCCACAUUUAUUUAAAAAUCAAGAUUAGUAGUAUAAAUUCGAGGACGAAUUUUCUUAAGGGGGGAAGAUUGAAACGCACCGUUUCGGUUUUUUUUUCUAGAAUAAAAAAAAAUAUAAAAAAUAAUAAUAAAAAAAAAAAAAACAUGGGACAAAAAGACAAACCAAAUAAAACACGGAAACCCCACCCACCCCUUUCUAUUUCUCUCACGUGCCUUUCACUCUCUACUCCCAUCUUCUAGAAUUCUCUCCACUCUCACUUUCAUUUUGUUCGUCUCUAUUCCAAUUCACCAUAAUUCUUUUUCUCUUCUCUCCACUCUUGAUGGUUAAUUACUCAUAUAAGCAAAGCUAUCUCCUAGUCUAAAAGUGUUCAUGGGUAAAGAUUUUGGAGUUAGGGUUAUUGCUCUAAGAAAGGAGAAGAAUAUCCAUCUCUUGAAAGUUGGUCAUUUAUAUUCUUUGAGAUUCGAUGAAAAUUGCUCCGGUGGUCAUUCCGGAAGGCAUUGCUAGGAACGGAGUUGAUUCGUCAUAGUUAUUCAAAGUCAACUGAAUAGAAAGCUUCUAUCAGAGUUAAAGAUUUGUCAAUGUCACUCUUUUGGCUUGCCGGACUAGUAUUAGUUCGUGCGCCGGUCACGAUUGGAAUUGGGUCGUGACA